rnacentral:lncRNA from 1 species
CAGCAGGAAACCUCAGAUCACUGCACCUUUGCCUGGCUUCUCGGAGUCACUCUGGGAGGCGGCUGCACAGGGGUGUGGCCCUGCCUUUCAAGCACAGGGAGUUCCACCCUGCUGGGCUGCUUCUGGAGGAUGAGGAUGCCCGCCGCCGUGGGCCGGGAAAGCCGAGGCCCCGCAAGCCGUCUGUCACAACGUGCGGUGCAGCAGAGGGGGAGCCUCCGAAUUUCCACAGUUGUUUCCGGAACAAAACUGAUCAACACCAUCUCUUAGGAGGUCAUCAUCUCCUGGGACAGAACACGGGACGAGGAAGUCGGGCGUGUGGAGUGCACAGAGCUGCCUUGAUGACUUCCGGCUCAGCCUGGGACCUUGACCCCCCCCU